rnacentral:rRNA from 1 species
AUUGAACGCUGGCGGCAGGCCUAACACAUGCAAGUCGAACGGUAACACAGAGAGCUUGCUCUCGGGUGACGAGUGGCGGACGGGUGAGUAACGUCUGGGAAACUGCCCGAUGGAGGGGGAUAACUACUGGAAACGGUAGCUAAUACCGCAUAACGUCGCAAGACCAAAGUGGGGGACCUUCGGGCCUCACACCAUCGGAUGUGCCCAGAUGGGAUUAGCUAGUAGGUGGGGUAAUGGCUCACCUAGGCGACGAUCCCUAGCUGGUCUGAGAGGAUGACCAGCCACACUGGAACUGAGACACGGUCCAGACUCCUACGGGAGGCAGCAGUGGGGAAUAUUGCACAAUGGGCGCAAGCCUGAUGCAGCCAUGCCGCGUGUAUGAAGAAGGCCUUCGGGUUGUAAAGUACUUUCAGCGGGGAGGAAGGCGUUGAAGUUAAUAACUUCACCGAUUGACGUUACCCGCAGAAGAAGCACCGGCUAACUCCGUGCCAGCCGCCGCAGUAA